rnacentral:tRNA from 1 species
GCCGGGGUGGCGGAACAGGCAGACGCAGGGGACUUAAAAUCCCCCGAUCGAAAGAUCGUACCGGUUCGAUUCCGGUCCUCGGCA